UACGAAGGGGGCUAGCGUUGUUCGGAAUUACUGGGCGUAAAGCGCGUGUAGGCGGGUCUUUAAGUCAGGGGUGAAAUGGCAAGGCUCAACCUUGGAACUGCCUUUGAUACUGGAGAUCUUGAGUCCGGGAGAGGUGAGUGGAACUGCGAGUGUAGAGGUGAAAUUCGUAGAUAUUCGCAAGAACACCAGUGGCGAAGGCGGCUCACUGGCCCGGAACUGACGCUGAGACGCGAAAGCGUGGGGAGCAAACAGG
rnacentral:rRNA from 1 species